rnacentral:misc_RNA from 1 species
AAGUCGUAACAAGGUUUCCGUAGGUGAACCUGCGGAAGGAUCAUUAUCAAAACAGCGGACUUCGGUCCUUGCUGCACCCUUGUCUUUUGCGUACCGUAUGUUUCCUCGGCGGGCUUGCCUGCCGGUUGGACAAUAUCAAACCUUUUUGUAGUUGCAAUCAGCGUCAGAAAACAAAUAAUAAUUACAACUUUCAACAACGGAUCUCUUGGUUCUGGCAUCGAUGAAGGCAGC